rnacentral:lncRNA from 1 species
AGGACUAGAAAAGAAUCACAUAGAGAGAGUUUGACAAAUUUUGCAAUCUCAAAACAACUUGGAUUUUCCUAUUUCAUAAGAGAGUGAUAAAUCUAUGGCAUAACCAAGUUACAAAAAAGUACGGUUCUUAUAUCAGAUGAACAACAAAAAUGAACGAACUCAUUCCUCACCAGAAUCCUUCCCAACUAUUACUUUAUUCCAUGGCGCUUGAAAAAUUCUCUAAAUCCAUAUGCACUAAGGUCAUAAGUGAACUAUAAUUGCAAAGAAGAAAAAAAAAACAAAUAAGAUAAUAUUCAUAUUGAAAAACAAAACACAAUAUUUCAAUAGAAUUCAUUUGAUAUAAUUUAUGACUUCCUGUAAUUCAAGCUGCUAAUGUACUUUAGUAGCAAGUAUGCUAAGGACUUCUCAUUUAAAUUUUGGAGCCAAAAGUCAAAGUAGGUUUUCGGUUUCACACUAUAGGAAAUUAAUCGCAAACUGCUAACCACACAAUGUCUGCCUAAGAAGAUUGACAGGAAAAAGGAAGUUUGAGAUAAGGCACCAAUUCAGUACAUCCAAGCUUUUAAGUCUACAAUAUUCUUUUUACUUCCAAUAAUUGAAGAUGCCACUCGCUAGGACAUGAUAAAACAUAGGAAUAGGUGUGACAUGCAUGGAUGCUUUGAAGCAUAUAGACAUUAUCAUAUCACCAAUUGAUGCCAAUGGAUUUUUAGGUGUGGCAUAGUUAGGCUUAAUACUGAAUGCCAUUAACUAUGACAAAGACUGGCCACACACAAUUGUGCUUGAACAUUCAUACUCCAUGUUUAAGACCCCAAAAGACUACUUUAUAAACAUGCUCUGGAUUGUGAUAGUAAAAAGUGUAGCUCGUAACCAACACCAUUUCAGUUAAUAUAUUAAUUAGAAACAAACUCAUGGACUUACAGGUAAAAUUUUCACAAAGUACUUUGUAAUAUUAGGAUCAACCACCC